CUUACCCAUAAGAAUUGGGCAUUUGUCAAACUUAUUCUCCUUAUAUGCGGGUUCCUCUUCGGAUGAGGGAGUCCGUUGUAUUUCUGUCCUCCUAUUGCGCUUGCCUGGAAUCUUCAAUCGAUGCAUAGUGUAUAAAUCGUAUUUGAAGAGCAAGUGUUCAGAUAACCAGUUUGAAGUGAUUUAUGGAUGGAAAUGAGGGAUUUUGAGUGUGGAAGAGAUGGGUUUUUGAAUUUGUAUGGAAUUUUUUUGGAGUGAAGGUUGGUUUUGUGGGUUUUAGAUGGGGUCGAAAGUGGAGAUGAAGAAAACGAGAAACACUUCGAAAAAGUGCAGAGUUUUGGUCCUUAAAAUCUAGAAAAUCACGAGACCGGUCGACGAAUGUAUGGACCGGAUCGAAAUAAACGGAUGAAAAAUGGACCAAAUAUUCUGUCCUUUCGGAUGACCAAACCGGUCGUCCGACGCUGGACUGGAUGAUUAAACAAUUGGGAAUCAUCUUGCUCCUAUGAAGGUAAGUUUAAUAAUUGAUAACCCAAGCACUUAUCCCUUGUGAAAUUUUUUACGUAUAUGUUCUCCUCCAAGAUGGUUUAAACGUCGUCCUAAUAUUACUGCUGAAGCUGCAGUAGCCAUUGUUGGCUGGCUGCUUUUCGGGUUUAUGCUGCAAGAAAGAAUGCCUCUUCCAGUUAGAAGAUAAGGACAAGUAGACCAUCUCACUUCAACAUUUUCUUUUCUAAGGUGAUUUUUUUGGUGCAAGGCUUGUGUUAAGGUCUGUGAUGGUAUCAUUUCGUUCUAACUGGUUGUUUUGUGGAGAACGAGUUGUUUAUUUCUUGUUAUAUUAAUCAACACCUGGGGUUUUUCGUCUGUAUUAUGCACUUGCUCCUUGUUUAUGAGUAUGGUCCUGCGAUGUCUAGAGGUGCCCUAAAUAUAAACUGGUCAAUGCAAUCCAAUAAGCACACGCUUGGGAUACUGUUUAAAAGGAAGGAGGAAUGACAAA
rnacentral:lncRNA from 1 species